AUAUAGAUAAAAAAGGUACGACGAACCAAAGCGCCCACACAGUUUGUUUUCAAUAAUGAAAUAUUGUUUGUAGAAGUUUUAUGAUCAUGAGUUGUGGUUAAUAAAAAUCAUACAAAAUGGGUCUGUAGCUCAGCUGGUUAGAGCGCACCCCUGAUAAGGGUGAGGCCGGUGGUUCAAGUCCACUCAGACCCACCAUCUGCGAUUUGGCAGAUCCAAAUGAUUUCGAUGAGAUUGUUUGGAUCUGGUUAAUCCGGACGUUCAUUAACAAUUUGGUAAAGAUAAAAAGGGUAAACACAAGCGAAUUAGUAUUGUCUUUGUAGUAUGGCCUUUAUUGAUUUUAGCGAUGGCAUUGAAUUGAGGUGACGAGAUUUGAGGUUGGCUGCUGAAGGCGAUUGAGGUUAUAUGGUCAAGAAGAG
rnacentral:misc_RNA from 1 species